rnacentral:lncRNA from 1 species
CUACAUAUCAAUGUGAGAUGUAUCAUGUUAAUUAGCUAGGUAGCUUACAAAAUAGAGAUAGGGCAUAUGAUGUUAAUGUUUUGAUGUUGAAAUAGUUUCACUAUGUUUAUUUAAUUGGAAGAAUGUUAGUUAGUAGUAUUGUAUACUAUAGUGUGUGUUGCUUUUAAUUAUUUUUUUUAGUAUUUUGAGAGUUUUUUUGAUAAUAUAUCAUUUGGGCAAAAUAUCACCGACUUUGUCGAUUAUUGAUGUUUUUUUCGAAAAACUUGACUUGUAGCGAA